UACGUAGGGUGCAAGCGUUGUCCGGAAUUAUUGGCGUAAAGAGCUCGUAGGCGGUCUGUCGCGUCUGCUGUGAAAACUCAGGGCUUAACCCUGAGCUUGCAGUGGGUACGGGCAGACUAGAGUGCGGUAGGGGAGACUGGAAUUCCUGGUGUAGCGGUGAAAUGCGCAGAUAUCAGGAGGAACACCGGUGGCGAAGGCGGGUCUCUGGGCCGUAACUGACGCUGGAGGAGCGAAAAGCAUUGGGGAGCGAACAGG
rnacentral:rRNA from 1 species